CUCUUUGAAGAAACCUUCAUAAUAUGAGCUACAACAACAUUUAAUUUCCCUUUGGGAUUAAUAAAGUAUUUUUGAAUUGAAUUGAAUUGAAUUGAAUUGAUUGAGGCCACUUUGUUUUCAUCAGGUCUGUACAGAAUAUCAGUGAAUCACCAACCAGAAGCUAAAGACUGAACUGUAUGCUUCAUUGGACAGUCACACAAACAGUUUGCUGGCUUUAGCCUGAGGGAUGCAGGGGAAAUCCGAUCAGUUCCCAGAAGAUCUCAUCAGUUUUAAAGACAUACUCUGAGCAAACACAAAACAUCAUUGUUGACCGGGUUGCAUCUCUUCGGUGUCUACCACUGCAUCUUCAAGAUGACACAGAGCUCUUCUACACCUGUAAGGAGGGUGAAGACCAAGGGUCUACCAUUAAGAAAUCUGCUGCCAUUGUGUCCAUUAUUGGUGACAGCGAGGAUAUGAACACGGUGCCAUUCCAUCCUCAAGAAGUCAAGGUCUUUCUCCAGGAGCAGGUUGUUUUGCAAGGGACUAAAUGCUGGCCAGAUGCAAUAAUGCAUUUAUAUGGCUUGCUUAAUGUUAUCCAGGCUAAAUAUCCAAAAGCAAUGACCUACACAUUUGAGUUUAUUAAGAAAGUCCUCCUGAAUGUAGAUGGCGAAAAACCCAAACCAAAGACACUGUCUUUAAAACAUAAGCUGUAAUGUACAAAGGCAGUGUCACAAAUGAAUUAAAGGUCUGUUGAGGUUAGAAGUGACCCAGGUCAUGGUUAUACAGCAAAAGUUCAAAGCAACAAACAAAAGGCCCACUUAUCCCCCAUUUAACAACACAAUCCUUGUUUCCAUAGUCAUUGUUUGCAAAGAAACUCUUGUAAAUGCUCACAGUUGGCAAUAGAUGGUCAUUUAGACCACCUGAUCCUAUGGUUUUCCAAUGACUAGUUAAAACAGCCAGAAGCACUAACAAACCAUUUGGAUGGAUCAUGGUUACUUGUACCUAAUUAAAACUAAACAGCUACCAUUCAGUCAAGCAAAAGAAGCUCUUCUGAUGAGGGACGAAAGGUCUUCAAGACACCUUAACCAAUCCAGUUGAUCCUUUAAAUAAGCAAGUAGGAAGUGUUUGAGUGUUACUUUACAUAAUUUGUCCAUCAGAGAAACAAAGUGACUGCAGAUUUUAGCAGAUAUGUGGCUUGGUGGAUAGUAAUGUUCAUCUGUUGCAGACUAAUGAAGACCCACAGUAGGCAUUAUGUAUCCGUACAUGUGUGUUCUGACCAGCUUAAGUUGGGUAAUUGUUUCAGACAAACGGGUCUUAUUUUCUAUGGCCCAAUAUGUGUGACACAUUCAUUAGCGCGCACACUUUUGUAAAAGCACAUAUUGUAUUGUGAAGAGAAAAUAUACAUUUGAGCUAACAAAAAUGAGUUGUUUGCUAAACUCUAUUUCUGCACUUGCCACUCAGUGCCUGUGCAGAACUCCUUCUCCGUGCUCGCUGACUUCUAACUCUGAGAGUCUACUUUUAACUCCGUUCUCGCUCAACUUGUCACAGCUUUACAGUGUGCCGCAAAAAUCAGUCGAUCACCGGCUCAGAGAAGGUAAACCUGAUUGGCUGUUUGGUCUCCAAUUGGUUGCUAGCUUCCAAGAAAAAGAUGGAGAGAAUUUGGAUGGCACAAUGCAUUCUGGGUGUUGAUUACAUCAGAUGCAAACAGGUAGUAUUUUUUUGUUAUACUAAUUAAAGUCAGAUUUUGCUAAAUGUUUUGGUGUAAAAUGGUGGUCAUAAUAGUUUAAUUAUCUCCCAAGCCUGGUCAAUGCAAGGACUCAUCCUUUUUUAGUUGUCCUUGGUUAGACUAAUUAAUACACAAAACAAUCAUACUUUCUUAAUUACCAAAAAAAAAAGAGAAUACUAGCGCUGGUCAACUUGAGCGCCUUCGCUUAGGAAUUUGUCCCAUAUUGUGCCAUAAUUUUCUUUUUUCUAUAUUUUCUAUUUUUUAGGUUUGUUUUAAUUAGAAACUUAUAUUUAUUGUUUAGCUUUUUUUAAGCAGAGCGCACAGAUAUUUAUGUUUGUUGUUUAUUUCCAUCAUUGAGGUGUUAUAUUGUUGUUACAAUCUGCUAAAUAAAAUAGAUACAAUUUAGAAUAUAGUGACCUAAUGUUUUUUUUUAUUUUUAUUACAUAAUUAUAGAUUAGUAGUGAGAAUGUAGAGAUAACAUGGGAGUUUGUAUAAACAACUAAAUGUUCUGAUAUAUAACAAUUUAUUUCCUUCUAUAUAACUGUUAAUGUGUCCAUUUCUGUAAUAUAUAUUUAAUUUUGAGGUGUUUCCAAAAUGUUUUAAGAGUUACUUUAGAUAAGUGAAUUGCUAGCAGUAUUAACAUAAUGCUUUUAGUAGUUGGUGUAUGUUCAGAACAGUAGUUCACAUUAAGGUUUGAGUAUAUACAUUUGAAUUUGAGUUGUUAAAUUGCCUAUAAUAGUUUUUACACUUCAUUAAAUAAAGUUUAGGUUAAAAACACAAACAUUUUGUGUCCUCAAAAACCAUUAAUAGUUCCGGUGUAAAUAUUAGAUAUUUAGUGUAGAAAGCAUGAAAUAUAUUGGUCAUAAAUUAAUUGUAAAACUUUUUAAAACAAUUGAAUAGUUUUUAUGUAACUCUACUAAAAAGACAUGGGUCCAAAUGGCAGAAAACAUCCUCUAAACAAGUUCAACUAAAUGUGUAAGAUUGACUUAAUUGUAAUAUUACGUUGAGCAUAACAAAAAAAGUUAUUUUGUAGCAUUUUCUUUUGUGUCUAGAACACUGAUUUGAUUGCGUUGUAAAACCAAAACUUUUUAAGCUUAACGUACACAAUAAAAUGCCUUAAACAACAUGAACAAUUUGGUUCAAAGGUACAAUCCCAAAUGUGUCAUCAUAGAGCAAAAUAUUGUUAAUUGCACAAAAAUAAAUACUUGUUGCAGACUGAAUAUAUUAAUGUUAGGCUGACUAUAAGAAUUCUGUUUAGUGAAAUCAAUGUGUUUGUGUUGAAGAGAUAUUAAUACAUUUAUAUAUAAUGGCUCAAAAGGUUUGUGUUAUGUCCACUAGAUAUUCCCACUUAAAUGACAUACUAUUACAAUGUUAGUAAAACAAAAACUAUUUUAUCAUUUGACUGAAAAAAACUGUUGAGCUGACAGAAAUCUCCGUCAGACAAGGGUCACAUUAAACAUUUAAUUUGUGUUGGUUGCAUUCAUAACUUUCAUGUUACCGUACUCAAAGGUUUUGUGUGCAAGCUGUUUCCAAAAUUAUUUUGAGUAGAGUGAGCAAAUUUGGAUUUAGCUGAACAAUGAAAAAUUUUGUGUUCAUUUAACCUAAAAAUAACAAUUUAUGUACGUAAAAUA